GAAAGCAUUGAUACAUUUCUUUUUGCACUUUGAAGAUUUAUUCUUUUUAGUAAUACAACAGCUAAAAAGCAAUGUAUGUUCAAGUUGCAUCUUUUUUCCCCUGUAUUUUUAUAAGGUUGACUCUUUCUCUAAUCUGAGUGAAUUGAAGAGUGAAAUAGAUUACUUUUCAAGCUUUAAAAAUAGUGAACGAGGUUGAGGGUUCAUCAGCAUUUAUAUCCGGAUGUCUGGCCAGCUGUCUUGGACAUCUAACGUCAUGAGAAGCUAGCUGAAAAUCUCAUUUUUAUAGGCACUCUGGGAUUUUACUGAAUCUAACCACUAUGACAAGAUACUAAAAAUAUUUUUAAAAACUUCAACGGAAAUUUGAAAAUAUAUUCACGAAGAUAUAACCUCUGAAGACAUUUGAGAAAUCUUAUUUGCAAAAUCUUUUUAUGAAGAAUCUUUUUUCAUGUACAGAGAACAGGCAAAUAAAUAGGAACUAAUCUUAAAACAUAAUAAUUUUGUAUUGCAGGAAGUUUAUGAUGUUCUGGGAAUAUCUAGUAAAAAUAUUUGACUUAGCAUAGAGCUUUCAUGGAUAUUUCUAGAAGAAAAUUACACUUAACAACUAAAAGAUAAUUAGGAGUUGUGAAAGGAGGAAAAGAAAGAGAACUCCAGAGCCGGGUGCGGUGUCUCACGCCUGUAAUCCCAGCACUUUGGGAGACCUAGGCGGGCAGAUCAUCUGAGGUCAGGAGUUCAAGAUCAGCCUGACCAACAUGGAGAAACCCCAUCUCUACUAAAAAUACAAAUAAAACUAGCUGGGCGUGGUGGCGUAUGCCUGUAAUCCCAGCUACUCUGAAGGCUGAGGCAGGAGAAAUGUUUG
rnacentral:lncRNA from 10 species